CUGUGAGCUCGAUGAGUAGGGCGGGACACGUGGUAUCCUGUCUGAAUAUGGGGGGACCAUCCUCCAAGGCUAAAUACUCCUGACUGACCGAUAGUGAACCAGUACCGUGAGGGAAAGGCGAAAAGAACCCCGGCGAGGGGAGUGAAAAAGAACCUGAAACCGUGUACGUACAAGCAGUGGGAGCACAGAGCAAUCUGUGUGACUGCGUACCUUUUGUAUAAUGGGUCAGCGACUUAUAUUCUGUAGCAAGGUUAACCGAAUAGGGGAGCCGAAGGGAAACCGAGUCUUAACUGGGCGUUAAGUUGCAGGGUAUAGACCCGAAACCCGGUGAUCUAGCCAUGGGCAGGUUGAAGGUUGGGUAACACUAACUGGAGGACCGAACCGACUAAUGUUGAAAAAUUAGCGGAUGACUUGUGGCUGGGGGUGAAAGGCCAAUCAAACCGGGAGAUAGCUGGUUCUCCCCGAAAGCUAUUUAGGUAGCGCCUCGUGAAUUCAUCUCCGGGGGUAGAGCACUGUUUCGGCAAGGGGGUCAUCCCGACUUACCAACCCGAUGCAAACUGCGAAUACCGGAGAAUGUUAUCACGGGAGACACACGGCGGGUGCUAACGUCCGUCGUGAAGAGGGAAACAACCCAGACCGCCAGCUAAGGUCCCAAAGUCAUGGUUAAGUGGGAAACGAUGUGGGAAGGCCCAGACAGCCAGGAUGUUGGCUUAGAAGCAGCCAUCAUUUAAAGAAAGCGUAAUAGCUCACUGGUCGAGUCGGCCUGCGCGGAAGAUGUAACGGGGCUAAACCAUGCACCGAAGCUGCGGCAGCGACGCUUAUGCGUUGUUGGGUA
rnacentral:rRNA from 1 species